rnacentral:lncRNA from 1 species
GUCUCAGUUGUAGGCCAGAACCACGCGGUAGACUAAUAUGAACUGAUACCAGGCCACAGUAUUAAUACGUAUCCGUUUACUGUUAAGUUUCUAUCCAUACACAUAAAGUAUAACACUGUAUGACAGACAAUGAAUAAAACGCAAAACCAUACAAUUCAGAAUUGACAACAUAGUUUAGACAGGCUAGGAACAUUUGCGUUAAAUUGAU